rnacentral:lncRNA from 1 species
AGUGAUAGCAAGUACCUUUGGUAGAGAUCUUCUUUGCCUUCUUCUUAGAGAUACUAGCCUUAGGGUUUAACUUUUUCUUAGAAUUUUUUUUGUCUUUCUUCUUAUUGAUCUUAUCUACAAGAAGAACUGGAGUCUUUUUACCUUUAAAAUGGCUUUCUACUGUUUUGAGCAUAUUUAGCAGUUCAGACAGGCUAAUAUUCAGUUUGUUCAUGUGGUAGUUAUUGACAAACUGAAAGAAAAAAUUAGAGAGUAUCUGCAGGAUCAAAUCUUGACAAAGCACACCAUCCAUAGUGAAACUCAGUUAUCCUAAAC